rnacentral:rRNA from 1 species
UCUUUAUUUUUGUUAAUUAUAAAUUAAAAAGAAUAAUUAAAUUUAUAUUUUAAUGAAAAAUUUUACUGGGGUGGUAUUAAAAUUUAAAUAACUUUUAUUAUUUAUUAACAUUAAUAUAUGAAUAAUUGAUCCAGUUUUAUUGAUUAAAAAAUUAAGU